GACGAACGCUGGCGGCGUGCCUAAUACAUGCAAGUCGAACGCAGUGGGGACGGGUGAGUCACAUGUGGGUAACCUCCCAUCAGAGGGGAUAACACUUGGAAACAGGUGCUAAACCGAUACUGCUGGAUGGACCCGCGGUUCAUUAGCUAGUUGGAGGGGUAACGGCCCACCAAGGCGAUGAUCAGUAGCCGGUCUGAGAGGAGGACCGGCAACAUUGGGACUGGAACACGGCCCAGACUCCUACGGGAGGCAGCAGUGGGGAAUCUUCCGCAAUGGACGAAAGUCUGACGGAGCAACGCCGCGGGGGUGAAGAAGGUUUUGGGAUCGUAAACCUCUGUUGUUAGAGAAGCGGUAUCUAACCAGAAAGCCACGGCUAACUACGUGCCAGCCGCCGCGGUAAUUC
rnacentral:rRNA from 1 species